AAAGAAUCACUUUUUCUAAGUAUGUCGGAGUGAUUGAGCAGAGAGAAAAAUGAAUACCCUAAGCGAACUAGAAAUCUGGAAAGAACCGAAAUAGAGGCAGUGUCUCAUGACACUUUACUUGAGGACUCACCUGAUGAACUGCUGAUCAACUCUAUAGAUUCCUUCACCUAACCAGAACUGACUUCAUCAGAGAGUUAUGAUGGUUAACUCUAUCAGUCUUCUACCUGAAUGCCCCAAGAUAUUGAUGAAGUCAACAAAAACAUUGAGCCUCAGAACACAAGAAAUCUUGGACAAACUGGGAGACAGCUUGUCAGUAUCUAAGGUUGCCAUCUGGAGUUUUAAGUAAUUGUCUACUACUGAAGAAACAAGACCCAGCAGACCCUCAGAUGGAACUGAAGUCUCUGUCUUGUCCUGGAGAUGUCCCCCAUCUCCUCAUCCCCAUCAGCUGAGGAUUUCCAUUUGUUUACAUGGCCCUCCAGGAUCUCUCCUGCACUUCCCCAGACUUGAUCCUGAAGCCUCCAUUUCCCUCCCUAUAGAAAAGAGCAGGUCUCAUGGUGAUAUCAACUUAACACUGCAGUAACAAGAUGCAAUAAGAGGAGACAUAAACUCUCACAUCAAGGCUUGAAGAAGUAACCCAGCAG
rnacentral:lncRNA from 1 species